rnacentral:rRNA from 1 species
UACGUAGGUGGCGAGCGUUGUCCGGAUUUACUGGGCGUAAAGGAUGCGUAGGUGGAUAUUUAAGUGAGAUGUGAAAUACCCGAGCUUAACUUGGGUGCUGCAUUUCAAACUGGAUAUCUAGAGUGCAGGAGAGGAGAAUGGAAUUCCUAGUGUAGCGGUGAAAUGCGUAGAGAUUAGGAAGAACACCAGUGGCGAAGGCGAUUCUCUGGACUGUAACUGACACUGAGGCAUGAAAGCGUGGGUAGCAAACAGGA